rnacentral:SRP_RNA from 1 species
GCCGGGCGUGGUGGCUCACGCCUGUAAUCCCAGCACUUUGGGAGGCCGAGGCGGGUGGAUCGCCUGAGGUCAGGAGUUCAAGACCAGCCUGACCAACAUGGAGAAAUCCCGUCUCUA